rnacentral:rRNA from 1 species
UACGGAGGGUGCAAGCGUUAUCCGGAUUCACUGGGUUUAAAGGGUGCGUAGGUGGAUUAGUAAGUCAGUGGCGAAAUCUCCGGGCUUAACCCGGAAACUGCCAUUGAUACUAUUAGUCUUGAAUACCGUGGAGGUCAGCGGAAUAUGUCAUGUAGCGGUGAAAUGCUUAGAUAUGACAUAGAACACCAAUUGCGAAGGCAGCUGGCUACACGAGCAUUGACACUCAGGCACGAAAGCGUGAGGAUCAAACAGG